rnacentral:rRNA from 1 species
GACGUAGGGAGCGAGCGUUGUCCGGAUUCAUUGGGCGUAAAGAGCGCGCAGGCGGUUUGGUAAGUCGGACGUGAAAACCCGGGGCUCAACCCCGGGCGUGCAUCUCGAUACUGCCCGACUAGAGGUAGGUAGGGGAGAUCGGAAUUCCUGGUGUAGCGGUGAAAUGCGCAGAUAUCAGGAGGAACACCCGUGGCGAAAGCAGCUCGCUGGAACGGUACUGACGCUGAGGCGCGAAAGCGUGGGGAGCGAACAGG